GAUGAACGCUGGCGGCGUGCCUAAUACAUGCAAGUCGAGCGAACGGACGAGAAGCUUGCUUCUCUGAUGUUAGCGGCGGACGGGUGAGUAACACGUGGAUAACCUACCUAUAAGACUGGGAUAACUUCGGGAAACCGGAGCUAAUACCGGAUAAUAUUUUGAACCGCAUGGUUCAAAAGCGAAAGACGGUCUUGCUGUCACUUAUAGAUGGAUCCGCGCUGCAUUAGCUAGUUGGUAAGGUAACGGCUUACCAAGGCAACGAUGCAUAGCCGACCUGGGAGGGUGAUCGGCCACACUGGAACUGAGACACGGUCCAGACUCCUACGGGAGGCAGCAGUAGGGAAUCUUCCGCAAUGGGCGAAAGCCUGACGGAGCAACGCCGCGUGAGUGAUGAAGGUCUUCGGAUCGUAAAACUCUGUUAUUAGGGAAGAACAUAUGUGUAAGUAACUGUGCACAUCUUGACGGUACCUAAUCAGAAAGCCACGGCUAACUACGUG
rnacentral:rRNA from 1 species